UCUGGCCAUUUGUCUGUCUCCCAUAAACAUUUUUUAAAGACUUCUCCACUGCAUUUCCCUCCUUAUCCUCAAAUUGUUCUAUUGGGUAACGAAUACAUAGAUUCUCAGUGUGGGAAUCAGUCUUAAUCGUCAAUUUUAAUAAUCGAUUUCUCUUGCAUCCUAACAAGCUCUCAGCCUAACACACCUGGAAUCUCCUCUCAUCACCCUGCUGCUGAGCAAGCAUGGUCUGGAUCUUCUCCAGCAUGCCUCCUGCCUUUGCCCUAAGCUUUAGUGCUUCCAGUCUGGUUCCUGUCUUCCUCAACUCUGACAUGGCUUGGGGGAGGAUCAGGUCAUUUCUUUGCAGGGUGAGGCUAAGUGAGGAUAGCUCCUCAACUCUGACAUGGCUUGGGGGAGGAUCAGGUCAUUUCUUUGCAGGGUGAGGCUAAUUGAGGAUAGCUCCUCAAACAUGUCAGAGAAAAUGGCAGAAUACACACGUGCAUUCUCCAUUUCCUGCUUUACCGGUUAAAUAAACAACGGAGUACUGGCCUUCGUCGGCGGUAAGGUCCUUGUCUUGUCCAUGCCUCAGGAACACUUGGAGGGCUCUGUGGACAUGGGGGAUCCAGCGAGUUUCCUUGACGCUAGACGGUGUGCAAAUAUCUACACUGAGCUCUUGCCCGAGAACAUAGAACAACAUCGUUUGGAUUUUCCGCUGAAAUGAUACAUCUUCUGAAGUGAUACAUAUCACAUUCAGAAGAUCAUACAGACACAUUUGGCUCUUUCUUCUGAAUGGUCAGUAUUGCCAGCUCUAGCCUGUGAAAGUCAGAACUGAAUCUUCCAAACAAUUCAUCCCCUCCAUCUCUUGUGUCAACAGAAUACAAUAAUUCUGUGGUAUUUACCAUUCCAGCACUUAGCGCACACACAGACACACACAGUAUUGUUUAACAUUAUCUGCUAGCAAAUAAAACUAAAUCAGAUCAUUUAUUAGUUACAAAUAUAUGUGGCAUACAGUGGAUUGGGAUUAUAUGCCCCCCUGCCCCUCUGCAGGUGGUCAAUCACUCCCCCACGGUGGCACCAUCUGCCCCGAAGGAGACGCACUUCUUCAUCCAUGACCCGCCAUCUUCCUCUGGGCAAACAGCACGAUAUGCGGCCUUGGUGGCAUCCAAAACACCUCGAAUGGACAAACAAAUAAUGAUAAUACAAAAGCAUUUAUUACAAAAUAAAUUCUAUCUCCAUUACGAAUAAUGAUUCAACCUUACACCAAAAUAAAGCCUAUAAAGAUAAACAAUUUACCAAUGGCGUUGAGUGUCCCGAAGUCUGUUGUCCGAACAAAUUUGACUAAAGGUUCUUUCGCAAUUUAGUAUGUUAUGUUUGUCUCCUCCUCAGACAGAAACACUUGUCUCCUCAAGGCUGCUGACACCGUGCUUUAUGGUGUCUCCUGUCUCAACAUGUUCAGAUCUCUGCACUGGAUAUGCCGCAGCCAGAUGUUAUGUUUCGCUGCGCUAUCUCUCUUUUUCCUGACACGAAGGACGAGUUGCCCGCCUGUUUCAGCCUUCUACAAUAUUUGCAGAACAUUACAUUGUUUUCUAACUCUAGCCAUGGGAACAUUUUGAGCCAAUUCGCAUUGAAUCUAUAUGUUCUCCCUCCGCCGGCUACAGUGGACGUUGAAGUGACAGCCGGGGUCACCGUAGCUUCGCUAACCGCCUCACGUAAAUCUUGUGAAGAGGCUUCAUUAGUUGAACCUUGCGAAUCCCCCUCGCCUGAUUACUCUUUCUCCUCGUCUCUUAUUCGCUUAAAAUACAAUUGAAUGGGCUUCAUUUUUAGCGAUGUCUGCACGUUCAUUUACAGCCUAUACCAAUACUUUUCCCCCAGUGUUGUUCACCUUUCUCUCACUCUGACUGGACUGCGUCAGCACUGAAAACCCUACUGUGGUUGGCGCUUGUGGGAAAAAAAUAAUAGAUUACGGUAGAUUGUAAUCUUUACUCGCACACUGUGCUCGUAAAUCAUUUUUCCGGUUCGCACAAAUCAAUUUAAGGGCAAAUGCGAGUGAAAUACUCGCAUUGUAGAGCCCUGGAUACCUUUUACAGAAUGGUCUGAGUUGUUAUGAUACGCUGUUUAAACCCACAUUGGGGCGAGGAGAGUAAUAGUUUACUCCAGCAGACGAUGGAGGUGGAGAGAAUAGAUUACGACAUUGGAGGGGUGCUACUUCACAGCCUGAGUGGGGGACACAGGAUCUGGUGGGUAAGCAUGGGACCAGUCCCAAAUGGCACCCUGUUCUCUAUGUAGUGCCCUACUGUUGACCAGUGCCCAUAGGGAUAUGGGACUCUACUCAAAAGUAGUGCACUUUAUAGGGCAAAUUUUGUAAUUUGAGAUGCAGACAUGGG
ensembl:lncRNA